UCCCUGGUGGCUCAGAUGAUAAAGCGUCCGCCCGCAAUGCGGGAGGCCCCGGGUUCAAUCCCUGGGUUGGGAA
rnacentral:tRNA from 1 species